rnacentral:rRNA from 1 species
GGGUUGUGAGGUUAAGCGACUAAGCGUACACGGUGGAUGCCCUGGCAGUCAGAGGCGAUGAAGGGCGUGCUAAUCUGCGAUAAGCGCCGGUAAGGUGAUAUGAACCGUUAUAACCGGCGAUACCCGAAUGGGGAAACCCAGUGUGACUCGUCACACUAUCAUUAACUGAAUCCAUAGGUUAAUGAGGCGAACCGGGGGAACUGAAACAUCUAAGUACCCCGAGGAAAAGAAAUCAACCGAGAUUCCCCCAGUAGCGGCGAGCGAACGGGGAGGAGCCCAGAGCCUGAAUCAGCAUGUGUGUUAGUGGAAGCGUCUGGAAAGGCGCGCGAUACAGGGUGACAGCCCCGUACACAAAAGCGCAUGUGCUGUGAGCUCGAUGAGUAGGGCGGGACACGUGGUAUCCUGUCUGAAUAUGGGGGGACCAUCCUCCAAGGCUAAAUACUCCUGACUGACCGAUAGUGAACCAGUACCGUGAGGGAAAGGCGAAAAGAACCCCGGCGAGGGGAGUGAAAAAGAACCUGAAACCGUGUACGUACAAGCAGUGGGAGCACAGGUUUACCUGUGUGACUGCGUACCUUUUGUAUAAUGGGUCAGCGACUUAUAUUCUGUAGCAAGGUUAACCGAAUAGGGGAGCCGGAGGGAAACCGAGUCUUAAUUGGGCGUUAAGUUGCAGGGUAUAGACCCGAAACCCGGUGAUCUAGCCAUGGGCAGGUUGAAGGUUGGGUAACACUAACUGGAGGACCGAACCGACUAAUGUUGAAAAAUUAGCGGAUGACCUGUGGCUGGGGGUGAAAGGCCAAUCAAACCGGGAGAUAGCUGGUUCUCCCCGAAAGCUAUUUAGGUAGCGCCUCGUGAAUUCAUCUCCGGGGGUAGAGCACUGUUUCGGCUAGGG